rnacentral:rRNA from 1 species
UACGUAGGGUGCAAGCGUUAAUCGGAAUUACUGGGCGUAAAGCGUGCGCAGGCGGUUAUGUAAGACAGUUGUGAAAUCCCCGGGCUCAACCUGGGAACUGCAUCUGUGACUGCAUAGCUAGAGUACGGUAGAGGGGGGGAUGGAAUUCCGCGUGUAGCAGUGAAAUGCGUAGAUAUGCGGAGGAACACCGAUGGCGAAGGCAAUCCCCUGGACCUGUACUGACGCUCAUGCACGAAAGCGUGGGGAGCAAACAGG